rnacentral:misc_RNA from 1 species
ACUAGUAUUGAAGUCCACGGGGAUCAGGCUUUCCGAAAGGAGGGUGGGGGGAUGUUUGGUUCCCCCUGCUUGGGCAGACUGGAGAGCAUUGUGUAGCCACUUUUGUUGGCUACGUUAUGUUUGGCCUUUUUGCUGAUCGAGCUUGUCACCUGAAUUCUACUACCCUUGCUUUUUGCGCACCCAUUGUUUCCUCGGUAGGCUUGCCUGCCAGUAGGACCAUUUAAAACCCUUUGUGAUUGCAAUCAGCGUCAGAAACAACGUAAUCGUUUA